CCGGCUGUAUUAUAUCCUGCCUGUUCAUUUCCACAAAAAUGCAUUGAAAAAAUUUUGCCGUCAGGGCGUGAGGGCAGCACUGGAGGGGCGCUUUUGACCUUGACAAUUGUCAAACAAACUUCAAAUUUGAAGGUUUAUAAAUAGGUUAAAUCGGGUUAGGUCAAAUGUUUUGAACAAUUUAUUAAACGGUUAAACGUUGAAUCAUAAAUCGUAUCCUCUCUAUGGUGUUAAAUGGUUGAAAAUUACAACAAAAAGGACUAGCAAAGGUGAAAUUUUGCAAAAGGCACUUCUCGAUUUCCCAUCAACUGUUUCCCCAAAGCAAUUCUACAUCACCCCCUGUUCACGUUCCUCACCUUCAAAAGUUGUACAACUGUUUUCUUGUGCUCCCGACAUUACUCCACGCGUGUUGGUGACUAUAAGAAGUUAGGUUAAAUUGGAAAAUGUGAAAACAGCUUCCCGUUAAAGAGUAUGAAUUGGGAAAUUUAACAUUUUUUUUUUGUAGCAAAAGGAAACAUUUGAAGGUGAGGAACGUGAUUAGGGGGUGGUGUAGAAGAAUUGUAACCAAACAGUUUGUGCGAAAUCGAGAAGUGCCUUUUGUAAAAUUUCACCCUAAUUAGCGCUGGAAGAAUAUAAAAAAACAGACAGUUCUUGUAUAACCAAAAUUUGCAAAAAUUGGUUUCAACACUUUAGACAAUAUUAAGUUCGCAACCAUUACUUUGUGGUUUUUAUCUUCACAAGGCAAAAAAGCUGAACUGGCAAUUGGCUCUAAUAACAAAGACUCCACCACAGUUCUUGGAUGAUGAUUUACUGAUAUAUCAAGUCAAGCAACGGGGUAGAUUUUGCGGUGGUUAGUAAUGAAUCUAAACAAUUUUUGCACUCUAACCUUUCUUCAAUUGUUCUACAAAUACAUCCAGAUAAAAACGCAACUGAUGCAGAGUUGAUAUCUGUGAAAAUGGUAUUAACGAUUGUUAAUUUAUGAAGAUCUUUCAGAAGACUGAAUUUGACCAAUUUUACUCAAGUGAUUACAGUCAGAAUAUACAUUUGCUGAUUCUGAAGUUGUUACUAAACCUGACUUAAUUAUUCGUUUAAUAGCAUAGUGUGCAUCAGUAGCGUCCUGAGAACCACCGCAUAAUCGGACAUUGCUAAACAUCGAUUCAACUGCAUCUGAGCUAAAUGCUCGCGUUAAGACAUAGAAAAAGCCACUCUCUUCCAGUAAAUACUUGAUACAUUCUGCAGUGCUUUUGGCAGUGAAUUUUACUGCUUCUGCAGUCUCUUUAGUCAAUCCCGUCAUUUUAUUUGCCUUUGAAGAUAGUUGAAUGGAAUCUAUAUAAGCAGGUAAAGUUUUUAACAUCCAGAGAAGGCGUUCAUCAUUAAUAUCUGUAUAUGGAGCACUAUUUUCAUUUAGUUGCCGGAUGUGCUGAGUUUUGUCAUUGACAUCAUGAAUUUUAAAAAAUGUGUGCAUCAUUUCCAUAAACUUUAGAGUCUCUUCAACAUCAACAAAACCUGGAUUGUUAUAUUUUCCCAAAUACUCUAUUGCUGCUCUUACUUCUAUGGAAAAUACUUGCACAGCACGACGGACGUUCAUCUUUUCUAAAUUGGUUGGGCAAAUAUGCUUCCUGGUCAAAAACUUUACCGGUUUAACAAUUAAUUUGUGUUGCAUAUCAUAUAUUUUCUUUAAAAAUCGUGCAGAAAUUAUACCGUUACCAGAAUGCAUGUCAUGGUCCAAAAAUAUGUUCCUCAAAUUUUUAAUAAUAUGACAGUAAUCAAAGCUAAUAAAUAAUGGUAUUGUUGGUUCUAUUGGAUGUUGAAUAUGAGUCAUUAAAUUAUUACUUGAUGACAGAGAUUUGAAAAGGGCCACAUUUGACUUAUGGUUAUCUGUCACAAUUCUUAAAACUGUAAAUCCGCAAUUAUAGUUCGAUGGAAGAAAUAUCCGGCGGGUAUCGUGUACUUAGUAGUCAUGCCGUGAACAACGUAACAUAACAUUUUGUUGGCCAACGUUGGUUUUUUUCCAAUUGUUUGACUACUCUCAUUGGUAGUCUCUAACCCAUAGAAUUUGUCUUCUGUGCGGCUGUAACACAGUUUUUCCUUGAUGGACAUGUCGUCAACAAUUAAACUACAAAUCCUUUCAACGGGUUGUAGCACUUCGGCUUCUGCUUUCAAGCGUGCCUCUAUAAGUCUUGUAACAUCUUGUCCAUUUCCUAUAUACCGUUCUAAAGUACUUCGACUAGGUAAUUUCAAUAUAGAAGCUUUACCAUAGUUGUAUCCCUUUGGGGAUGAAAUCCUCCAGGCAAUACAUGAUCUUACAGUUACUUCUGACCAUCUAGAUUUUUGUUUGUUGUAAUUUAAUAUUUGGUCUAAUAGAAACGUGGCUUUUGGCUCGUUAUUCUUGGCAUCAGCUUCAAUUUUUUCGAAUAUACGGGCUUGAUUCGUUUGAUUGUCAAUUUUUAAUUGCAGUUUUUGUAGCUGUUUAUUUUUCAGUUUGUUCUGUUUGUCCAAACGGUUUACUUUCAUUUUCAGUUUUUUGAUUUCAAGUUUAAGUUUUGAUAUAUCAUCAAGACGAAGAUCAGUAUUGGAACUUAAUGUUUGGGAUUCAUUAUAUAAGGACUCAGGUUCAGAAGGAAUUGUUGAGUGACUUAAAUCAGGAUUCUACAAUUUAAAAAAAUAUGAUUAAAAUUUAUUAACUGCCAAUAAAAUAUUACUGGAGGUUCUUCUGUCGAUGUUGGACACGUGGAUGUUGAUUGGGAGGGAGGAGAUAAUCUUGGAGUAACAGUACUCUAAAAUAAAUAAUUAUUAGAGGAAAGUUCUAAAAAAGUGUGAAAAUAGGAAUAAUGGAUGAUGAGGGCUUGAUAUUUAAAGGAGUAGAAGACUGGGCAAGGGCAACGAAGGAUUCGUGUAUGGAUGCGUAAUAAGCAUCAUCACCCUAUAAAAACUAUAAUUUUAUUUCUGUUAAGUUUAAAAUGUAAAUAAAUAUACAUGAAAAACUGUU